GACGAACGCUGGCGGCGUGCUUAACACAUGCAAGUCGAACGGUGAAAGCGGAGCUUGCUCCGCUGGAUCAGUGGCGAACGGGUGAGUAACACGUUGGCAACCUGCCCCUGACUUCGGGAUAACUCCUCGACCGCGGUGCUAAUACCGGAUACGAAUCCUGCAGGCAUCUGCUGGAUUGGAAAGUUUUUCGGUCAAGGAUGGACUCGCAGCCUAUCAGCUAGUUGGUGAGGUAAAGGCUCACCAAGGCGACGACGGGUAGCCGGCCUGAGAGGGUGACCGGCCACACUGGGACUGAGACACGGCCCAGACUCCGACGGGAGGCAGCAGUGGGGAAUAUUGCACAAUGGGCGCAAGCCUGAUGCAGCAACGCCGCGUGAGGGAUGACGGCCUUCGGGUUGUAAACCUCUUUUAGUAGGGAAGAAGCGAAAGUGACGGUACCUGCAGAAAAAGCACCGGCUAACUACGUGCCAGCCGCCGCGGUAA
rnacentral:rRNA from 1 species